ACGCAGUGGUAGAACUGAUGUUGGUUUACACCUCACCCACUGUUUCAGGAAUGCUGCUUGAGGCGACGGGAGAUUACCACACUGCAUUUAUGUUUUCAGCCUCGUCUUUUCUUCUGGCAUCCAUACUCGGUUUACUGAUGAUCUGUGCGAAGUCAGAACGUUCAGACGGAGAGACACCACUUACUACAACCCUACCGGAAAGAGAGGCCUUGGAAGUUUAAAGAAAGUCGAUGUUUGUGUUUGGGAA